rnacentral:rRNA from 1 species
AGCUUGCUCUCGGGUGACGAGCGGCGGACGGGUGAGUAAUGUCUGGGAAACUGCCUGAGGGAGGGGGAUAACUACUGGAAACGGUAGCUAAUACCGCAUAACGUCGCAAGACCAAAGAGGGGGACCUUCGGGCCUCUUGCCAUCAGAUGUGCCCAGAUGGGAUUAGCUAGUAGGUGGGGUAACGGCUCACCUAGGCGACGAUCCCUAGCUGGUCUGAGAGGAUGACCAGCCACACUGGAACUGAGACACGGUCCAGACUCCUACGGGAGGCAGCAGUGGGGAAUAUUGCACAAUGGGCGCAAGCCUGAUGCACCCAUGCCGCGUGUGUGAAAAAGGCCUUCGGGUUGUAAAGCACUUUCAGCGGGGAGGAAGGCGAUGAGGUUAAUAACCUCGUCGAUUGACGUUACCCGCAGAAAAAACACCGGCUAACUCCGUGCCAGCAGCCGCGGUAAUACGGAGGGUGCAAGCGUUAAUCGGAAUUACUGGGCGUAAAGCGCACGCAGGCGGUCUGUCAAGUCGGAUGUGAAAUCCCCGGGCUCAACCUGGGAACUGCAUUCGAAACUGGCAGGCUAGAGUCUUGUAGAGGGGGGUAGAAUUCCAGGUGUAUCGGUGAAAUGCGUAUAGAUCUGGAGGAAUACCGGUGGCGAAAGCGGCCCCCUGGACAAAGACUGACGCUCACGUGCGAAAGCGUGGGGAGCAAACAGGAUUAUAUACCCUGGGAGUCCACGCCGUAAACGAUGUCGAUUUGUAGGUUGUGCCCUUGAGGCGUGGCUUCCGGAG